rnacentral:rRNA from 1 species
AGCGAACGCUGGCGGCAGGCCUAACACAUGCAAGUCGAACGAACCUUUCGGGGUUAGUGGCGGACGGGUGAGUAACACGUGGGAACGUGCCUUUAGGUUCGGAAUAACUCAGGGAAACUUGUGCUAAUACCGAAUGUGCCCUUCGGGGGAAAGAUUUAUUGCCUUUAGAGCGGCCCGCGUCUGAUUAGCUAGUUGGUUGAGGUAAUGGCUCACCAAGGCGACGAUCAGUAGCUGGUCUGAGAGGAUGAUCAGCCACAUUGGGACUGUGACACGGCCCAAACUCCUACGGGAGGCAGCAGUGGGGAAUCUUGCGAAAUGGGCGAAAGCCUGACGCAGCCAUGCCGCGUGAAUGAUGAAGGUCUUAGGAUUGUAAAAUUCUUUCACCGGGGACGAUAAUGACGGUACCCGGAGAAGAAGCCCCGGCUAACUUCGUG